rnacentral:rRNA from 1 species
ACUCCUACGGGAGGCAGCAGUGGGGAAUAUUGCACAAUGGGGGAAGCCCUGAUGCAGCCAUGCCGCGUGUGUGAAGAAGGCCUUCGGGUUGUAAAGCACUUUCAGUAGGGAGGAAGGUAGUGUAGUUAACACCUGCACUAUUUGACGUUACCUACAGAAGAAGCACCGGCUAACUCCGUGCCAGCAGCCGCGGUAAGUACGGAGGGUGCGAGCGUUAAUCGGAAUUACUGGGCGUAAAGCGCAUGCAGGCGGCCUGUUAAGUCAGAUGUGAAAGCCCGGGGUCUUAACCUCGGAAUUGCAUUUGAAACUGGCAGGCUAGAGUCUUGGUAGAGGGGGUUAGAAUUUCAGGUGUAGCGGUGAAAUGCGUAGAGAUCUGAAGGAAUACCGAGUGGCGAAGGCGGUCCCUUGGACAAGACUGACGCUCAGAUGCGAAAGCGUGGGAGCAAACGAGGAUUAGAUACCCCGUGGUAGCGACUGA